rnacentral:rRNA from 1 species
GAUGAACGCUGGCGGCGUGCCUAAUACAUGCAAGUCGAGCGAACAGACGAGGAGCUUGCUCCUCUGACGUUAGCGGCGGACGGGUGAGUAACACGUGGAUAACCUACCUAUAAGACUGGGAUAACUUCGGGAAACCGGAGCUAAUACCGGAUAAUAUAUUGAACCGCAUGGUUCAAUAGUGAAAGACGGUUUUGCUUUCACUUAUAGAUGGAUCCGCGCCGCAUUAGCUAGUUGGUAAGGUAACGGCUUACCAAGGCAACGAUGCGUAGCCGACCUGAGAGGGUGAUCGGCCACACUGGAACUGAGACACGGUCCAGACUCCUACGGGAGGCAGCAGUAGGGAAUCUUACGCAAUGGGAGAAAGCCUGACGGAGAAACGCCGCGUGAGUGAUGAAGGUCUUCGGAUCGUAAAACUAUGUUAUUAGGGAAGAACAAAUGUGUAAGUAACUAUGCACGUCUUGACGGUACCUAAUCAGAAAGCCACGGCUAACUACGUG